AAAAACCUGCCGUGGUGCUUAAUAUAUAACGUCUAUAUCCCCGCGUGAUAUUUAUUUGCGCACAACUCUACAGCUUCCGGCUGAACAAUGCGAGGGAACGAUCAAAAUAAAGACUGCAAAUCAUGCUUCAAGUGCGGACUACACUCUUCAGAGAGAGAGCACAGGAGAUCAAGUUGAACCUACAUCACCCCCGACUACAAUAUCCCCGACAUUUCUUGUUAAAAACACACAAAGUCGCGCGUAAAUGUGUCCAACACGCCUGCCGCGAAGGGUGAUCGUUCACUGGCGUACAUUUCCAGGCUGCAUAAGAGGUUGGAAAGACCCUCUUUCUCUCUCGCCCACCUCUAAAGAUGUUGCUCCAUACACGCCGGGGAAUGCAGAUGUCGGUAGCCGAGGAGGUGGCACUCUGAGCCGGGCAGGGGCAGGACCCUCGACCCUGGGAGACCCUCCGGCGAAGCUGGCGGCGAGACGCGGGAGAAGCGGCGCAGGCAGGCGGCGAGAGCCUGGCUCUGACUGGCGGAGAGGGGGAUUGAGUCUAGACUACAGUAGAGGAAGAAAGGACUGCCACUGGGGUCAGAGAGCAGCGACGAGAGCAUAGCCUCCGUACUAGCAUGGCGGAGCGAGUGUGUGUGGAAAUGUGUGUGUGUGGUUACUCCUCCCCUCUCUCAGAAGAAGCUGCCAUGAUAUGCGUUUACACGUGGAGAGGAGAGACCCUCUUCUGCUGCCUAUUUUCGCGUCUUUCUGCAGUGUCCUUUGUUGCAUGUUAGUGCAUUGAUUUACCUUCAGUACCUGGAGAAAGUGCUUAUUUGGGUUGCAUUUUACUAGACACCAAGAUUUACUUCACACACUGUGUGUGUGUGUGUGUGUGUGUGUGUGAGAGAGAGAGAAACAGAGCACUGGGUCUUUGUUACUGUCAAAAUGAAGUGAUGUUUGCCAAGUUUUCUAUGUAUGACUGAAUUAAAUGUAAAAUUAGCUUCUUUUUAGUAAAUUCAGAUCUUGUAUCAUUUAAUGUUGAAAUUGUGUAACAAAAACUCAAGAGCUAUUACGAUAUCUGAAAACUGAGCUACUUUGUUCAUAGAAAAUAUACAACAAAAUUGUGAACAAAGAAACAAACCCUCUUGCAAUUGAAUAUUAUUAUUCCUGAUUUAAUCUGAACAUGACAUUACAUUAUAGGAAAUGCAUUAUGGCAUACCAGUUAAAUGUGUUAAAGUGUAUGUGAGCGAUAGGUUCAGUUCAGACUGACUGCGUUUGACUUGUGGGUGGCAAAAUAAGAACAAUAUGGAACAUAAUAUUAAAAAGCAACUUUUCUUGCUAACACUCAAUUGAA